GGCAGCAGCAGACGCAGCACCCGCCGCCGGCCCUGCAGAGACCCUGGGAGAAGCUGCGCCUGGAGGAGCGCGAGGCGGAGAAGGAGGCGAGGAAAGUCAGCAAGAGCAUCGACCGGGCGCUCAAAGAGCAGAAGCGGGAGUACAAGCAGACGCACCGCCUGCUGCUACUGGGCAAUAGCAUUUUGACAGUUUCUUCAAGGAGGCUGCAUUCCUAUAAAGGGCAACAGGGAAGCUCUUCUCAGCCAUUGAUUCCAGCUAAUUGUCCAAUUGGUCUUCAGAAACUGCAGCAAAGGGAAACCUUCCCUCUGUGAUUUGGCUUAGCUCAUACAAUGGUGUUACAAAGCAAGAUGGAAAAUAUCUGUAAUAACAAUCUGACA
ensembl:lncRNA